ensembl:snRNA U1 U1 spliceosomal RNA
GCUCCUAUCUGGUGGCAAGCAUUCUGUUCAAGGGUCGUGUUAUGGUUGUUGGCAAAGUGGGUUUUUCUGAGUGAGGUUCACCUGUUGCACACCAGCUGUGCUGAUCCCUGCAAUUUCCCCAAACACAGGAAACUUAACUGCAUACUUUGUGGUAAUGGGGGAACGUGUUCAGACUUUGCCCUGG